GUGGGGAAUAUUGGACAAUGGGGGGAACCCUGAUCCAGCCAUGCCGCGUGUGUGAAGAAGGCCUUUUGGUUGUAAAGCACUUUAAGCGAGGAGGAGGCUACCGAGAUUAAUACUCUUGGAUAGUGGACGUUACUCGCAGAAUAAGCACCGGCUAACUCUGUGCCAGCAGCCGCGGUAAUACAGAGGGUGCAAGCGUUAAUCGGAUUUACUGGGCGUAAAGCGCGCGUAGGUGGCCAAUUAAGUCAAAUGUGAAAUCCCCGAGCUUAACUUGGGAAUUGCAGUCGAUACUGGUUGGCUAGAGUAUGGGAGAGGAUGGUAGAAUUCCAGGUGUAGCGGUGAAAUGCGUAGAGAUCUGGAGGAAUACCGAUGGCGAAGGCAGCCAUCUGGCCUAAUACUGACACUGAGGUGCGAAAGCAUGGGGAGCAAACAGGAUUAGAUACCCUAGUAGUCC
rnacentral:rRNA from 1 species